AAGACUAUACUUUCAGGGAUCAUUUCUAUAGUUUGUCAUAAUUACUAACUAACCAGAUACAUGCGAUUCUAAUUAAU
rnacentral:snoRNA from 1 species